GCCAAGCUCCCUAAGAACUUUCCCCUCCAAGGCCAGGGAGAAUGAGACUUUGGCUCCAUUUAGGUUUCCUUGUAGCAGCUUUGGAAGGUGUCCGGUCCCAGGUGCAGCUGGUGGAGUCCGGAGGGGAUGUGAAAAAGCCCGGAGACUCUCUCCGCCUCUCCUGCAAAGCCUCCGGAUUCACCUUCAGCAGCUACCAGAUGCACUGGGUCCGGCAGGCUCCCGGGAAAGGGCUGGAGUGGGUCUCGCUCAUUUACACUGACGGAAGCAAAAGUUAUUAUUCAGAUGCAGUGAAAGGCCGAUUCACCAUCUCCAGGGACAAUUCCAACAACCUGCUGUAUCUGCAAAUGACCGGCCUGAGACUGGAGGACACCGCCCGGUAUUACUGCGCUAGACGCACAGUGGAAUGA